AGAGUUUGAUCCUGGCUCAGGAUGAACGCUAGCUACAGGCUUAACACAUGCAAGUCGAGGGGAAACGACAUCGAAAGCUUGCUUUUGAUGGGCGUCGACCGGCGCACGGGUGAGUAACGCGUAUCCAACCUGCCCACCACUUGGGGAUAACCUUGCGAAAGUAAGACUAAUACCCGAUGAUAUCUCUAGACGACAUCUGAAAGGGAUUAAAGAUUUAUCGGUGAUGGAUGGGGAUGCGUCUGAUUAGCUUGUUGGCGGGGUAACGGCCCACCAAGGCGACGAUCAGUAGGGGUUCUGAGAGGAAGGUCCCCCACAUUGGAACUGAGACACGGUCCAAACUCCUACGGGAGGCAGCAGUGAGGAAUAUUGGUCAAUGGGCGAGAGCCUGAACCAGCCAAGUAGCGUGCAGGACGACGGCCCUAUGGGUUGUAAACUGCUUUUAUAAGGGAAUAAAGUGAGUCUCGUGAGGCUUUUUGCAUGUACCUUAUGAAUAAGGACCGGCUAAUUCCGUGCCAGCAGCCGCGGUAAUACGGAAGGUCCGGGCGUUAUCCGGAUUUAUUG
rnacentral:rRNA from 1 species